rnacentral:lncRNA from 10 species
GUUGAAUCCAAGCCUUGAUGAAAGGAACCUUUCUGAGCCUGAAGAUAUGGAUGGCCAUGCCUCGAACACUUCUCAGGGUCAGGGUGGGCCACUAUGGACAGGAAUGGCCACGGAGAGGAAACGUGGAAAGGGGUCAGGGCCAGAGUCACACACUCCUGCAUCUGAACCUGCCUCAGGGCGGUGGUGGCUGUGUGAUCUUCAGCAAGGGGCCUCUCUGUGACUCAG